rnacentral:lncRNA from 1 species
UAAGGGAAGAACGGAGCUGUAGCUGAAUUGAUGCUUGAGAGGACUUUUGUACAUGAGUUUGCAGGUUACAUGUAGAUGGCCCUCGAACACCAUGCCAAAACGACGAACAAGAGAACGCGAGAAGGAAAAGGAUGUGAGCUGACGCAUCGCGCUGUAAGCGCUCGAAGCCGACAAGGCAACACAAGGACCAUGCGGUUCGAGGCUUCCUUCCCUCGACCCUUCGCCGGCGUGCUCUCCGACCAGUCGGACCCGUCUUCCUCGAAGAUGGUGUCGAGGGUCAGCGCCCGGGCUGCUCGUCUCGCGCUGCUGCUGGUGCGCCGCCACGGCGCCACCGCGGAGAAGGGGACCUUCGGCGACCGAGGAGAGCUCGGGGCCACCUCGAAGAAGAAGGAAGCUAGUUGUACGCUGGCCAUCUUUGCCUGAGCUAUGGAGCUUGAGGUCUAAGGACUCGACCGACUUGUUCUUACACCACGGAGAGGGAAGGAUCUUUAUAGAGAAGAAGAAAGGUAAAUGCACUUGAAUCAUUCCUUUAU